rnacentral:rRNA from 1 species
CCUACGGGUGGCAGCAGUGGGGGAUAUUGGACAAUGGGGGAAACCCUGAUCCAGCGAUGCCGCGUGAGGGAAGAAGGUUUUCGGAUUGUAAACCUCUGUGGAGGGGGACGAUAAUGACGGUACCCCUUUAGGAAGCCACGGCUAACUACGUGCCAGCAGCCGCGGUAAUACGUAGGGGGCGAGGGUUGUCCGGAAUUACUGGGUGUAAAGGGAGUGUAGGCGGGAAAGCAGGUCAGAAGGGAAAACUAUGGGCUUAACCCACAGCCCGCUUUUGAAACUGGUUUUCUUGAGUGAAGUAGAGGCAAGCGGAAUGCCUAGUGUAGCGGUGAAAUGCGUAGAUAUUGGGCGGAA